rnacentral:lncRNA from 1 species
AGUCCUAAACUGUUCAUCCUAUCCUGCCUUACCCUUCUCUCAGAAACCCCAACAAAGGCCAUGCCUUACAACUUACCUUGCUCCUGUUUCUGCCUCCUGACCACUCUGGUCUUCCCCAUGUUGCCAUGUAUGGCAUGCCUCCUGUCUCUAGGACCUAUGCAGCAAAAGAGAAAAACAAUGAAAGUCUGUAUUAGUAACCAGAAAAACGGUCAGAAGUCUGAGGUACCUGAGAGAAGACAGCAAAAUGAGAUCUGGAAUUUGAGGAGCACCUGUUAGGAGAAGAGCCAUCUCUACUACUCCCCAAAAGAUUCCCUGUUCUAGUUGGCCUUCUAUAUUGGUGGUUUCUGAAUACAUACCCCAAAGAACCUGAGCAUCAGUGAAUUCUGGUAUCUUCUGGGAGCCCUGGAACUAAUCUCUUGAAGAUACCAACGGAUGACUGUGUUUUAAAAGGUAAGUGGAUUAGGAUAUUGACGGUGAUCAUUUUGCAUAAUUUUUUUCAUAAUGUUGGGCUUCCAAACAAAAGAUUAAAAG